rfam:Asian citrus Psyllid, Diaphorina citri - Florida Strain, whole genome shotgun sequence.
ACCUCGGUGGUGUAGUGGUAAAGACGCUCGCCUGGUAAACAGGAGGGCGCUGGUUCAAUACUAGCCGAGGUA